UUGGGGUAUCGAAAACGAUUAGAAACCGUUGUAGUCCCAACCACAAACUUUGCUGACUGGCCUUGUGGCACCUCGCGGCUUCGGCUAGGAGGUGGUGCGGGGCCUAGGCGAAAGCAUAGUCUUCGAGUCACUUGGAGAGUAUGCCCGCAAGAGUGAAACUUAAAAGAGUUGACGGAGUCCCAUACAUGAACUGGAGCUUGCGGUUUAAUUUGAUUCAACACGGGACAACUUACCAGGGCCUCGGCAAGUAUGAGUCGUUCCCAGUCCGCUGGGUGUGGUUGAAAUUCAACGACGAUUUUGCCUGGGGUUGUGCAUGGCCACCCGAGGCUGAUGGAUUGAUCUUUUGGUUAAUUCCGGUAAUCAGCGAGACCCGCGCUGUCAGUUUCGAGCCAAGAGGCGAGUCUGGCAGAACCGCGCUCGCAAGAGUGAGGUAGGACGGUCUAAGGUAGGUCCG
rnacentral:rRNA from 1 species